UACGUAGGGGGCUAGCGUUGUCCGGAAUCAUUGGGCGUAAAGAGCGCGUAGGCGGCUGGAAUAGUCCGGUGUGAAAUCCACAGGCUUAACCUGUGAAUGCCGCUGGAAACUGUCUGGCUAGAGUCCGGAAGGGGCGAGUGGAAUUCCUGGUGUAGCGGUGAAAUGCGCAGAUAUCGGGAGGAACACCAGUAGCGAAGGCGGCUCGCUGGGCCACACCUGACGCUGAGACGCGAAAGCUAGGGGAGCGAACAGG
rnacentral:rRNA from 1 species